UGGGGAAUUUUGGACAAUGGGGGAAACCCUGAUCCAGCCAUCCCGCGUGUGCGAUGAAGGCCUUCGGGUUGUAAAGCACUUUUGGCAGGAAAGAAACGUCGCGGGUUAAUACCCCGCGAAACUGACGGUACCUGCAGAAUAAGCACCGGCUAACUACGUGCCAGCAGCCGCGGUAAUACGUAGGGUGCAAGCGUUAAUCGGAAUUACUGGGCGUAAAGCGUGCGCAGGCGGUUCGGAAAGAAAGAUGUGAAAUCCCAGAACUUAACUUUGGAACUGCAUUUUUAACUACCGGGCUAGAGUGUGUCAGAGGGAGGUGGAAUUCCGCGUGUAGCAGUGAAAUGCGUAGAUAUGCGGAGGAACACCGAUGGCGAAGGCAGCCUCCUGGGAUAACACUGACGCUCAUGCACGAAAGCGUGGGGAGCAAACAGGAUUAGAUACCCUGGUAGUCCACGCCCUAAACGAUGUCAACUAGCUGUUGGGGCCUUCGGGCCUUGGUAGCGCAGCUAACGCGUGAAGUUGACCGCCUGGGGAGUACGGUCGCAAGAUUAAAACUC
rnacentral:rRNA from 1 species